AAAAGGUACGAUAGAUAUUUCAUUUUCAUUUAUGUCUUGGAUGUCCUUUAACUUGUGGAUGUAUCUGAAAUCUUCAUUAUAUAUUUAGUUUUUUUCAGUUGAUUUCCUAAGUAGUGUAAAGACUUGGUCUGAUCAUUUACUCUAUCAUGGUCUCUUGUUCUGUGUCUUGCCGCGGUAUAUUUCUUGAACCAAUGUAUUAAUUAAGACAGACAACUAUGCAAUCAGAGAAGAAAGAAACCACAGGAUCAAAGGAGAACAGACAAAUACAAAAUUUUCCAAGGGAGUGAUUAAAAUUUUAUACGAAAUGGAGCACAAGUACUAGAAGAAAGUAUUUCCUUGUUUGAUGGUAAGGCCAACCCUGUCCGGUACUUCUCAGUUGAUAACAACAUGAUUGUGGAACAUGAUCGGAUUUUUGUUAGUAGCUGCUUUUAUCUGUGCAAGGGCUUUUGGAAGGGGAGAGUUGUAUUGGUAAAGCUGCAGAAUAGUGAUAAUGAGGACACUAAAUUAGGGUUUUUACGCGAAAUUGCAGUUGUUGCACAGAUGGUUACUCAUUAUAAUGUGCACAAAAGAUUAGGAUGUUGCCGGGAGACCACAUCUCCUGUAAUUGUGUAUGAAUGGGUGGCCGUUUUUUUUUUUUUUUUUUUUUUUUUUUUUUUUUUUGCUGUUGUUGUAAUUUACAAUCAAUGGUUUAAACUGCAAAAUGGGUACUUUUACGGGUUAUAAUUGACAAAAUUUGGUCGUA